rnacentral:rRNA from 1 species
GAUGAACGCUAGCGGCAGGCCUAAUACAUGCAAGUCGAACGGUGUCUUCGGACAUAGUGGCGCACGGGUGCGUAACACGUAAGCAACCUAUCUUACAUUGGGGGAUAGCCUUUCGAAAGGGAGAUUAAUACCGCAUAAGACAGUAGCUGGGCAUCCAGCAGCUGUUAAGGUUUUAUCGAUGUCAGCGGGGCGUGCGUCCAAUUAGCUAGUUGGUGAGGUAACGGCUCACGAAGGCAACGAUUGGUAGGGGAACUGAGAGGUCAAUCCCCCACACUGGCACUGAGAUACGGGCCAGACUCCUACGGGAGGCAGCAGUAGGGAAUAUUGGGCAAUGGACGCAAGUCUGACCCAGCCAUGCCGCGUGCAGGAUGAAGGCGUUAUGCGUUGUAAACUGCUUUUAUACAGGAAGAAACGACUCUUGCGAGAGGCAUUGACGGUACUGUAUGAAUAAGCACCGGCUAACUCCGUGCCAGCCGCCGCCGUAACAC